rnacentral:lncRNA from 1 species
CUUUAAUGGACCAAAUUUUAAUUAAAUACUGCUCUGCCAGUUUCAAAUAAUGAAGAUUAAAAUGCAUAAAGCAAGUCUUGCAUAAAGAUACAAACAAGCACCAGGUCUGAGGAUAGGAAGUGGAGGUUGGGCAGCUGGAGGUCUCUGCUUGAUGGGUAGGGUUCUCCCUGGUCAGCCUGGCUCCCUCUGGCCAGGUAAAGGGACGUCUCCUCAAGCCCUCGGAUAGACUCAAGGUCCCUGGACAUUGUCCACACCUGCCCGCCCCCAAGGCUGUGCCAGGGUGGGUUCUGUGCCUGGUUCCCCACUCUCCUCCUGGAUCACCCCAGUGCCUGACACCUGGUGGAUAAUCAAUAACGAUGGGUUGAAGGGAUGAAUGGUGUCUCCUUGAGCCAGCCCUCCCACUGGGGUGACAGUACACACAUCUGUGUGACGUCCAUGUCUAGGUGUGAGCAUGCCCUGGACAGUCAAUGGUGCAGGCUGAGAGCCAGUGUGUGGGGGAGUCCUGGGCACAGCAGCGGGCCAUGUGGCCCUGCCUUGGGAUCUCACCAGAAGCAGUGAUGGGUGCCGGCACCACCUCUGAGAAGACAGGCUUUUUGUCCUGGGCAUCGGCUUCUUCACCGUCUGCUUCCUGAUGACCUCUCUGGGAGGCCAGUUCUCGGCACGGCGCCUGGGGGACUCGCCCUUCACCAUCCGCACGGAAGUGCUGGGUGGCCCUGAGUCCCGUGGCGUCCUCCGCAAGAUGAGCGACCUGCUGGAGCUGAUGGUGAAGCGCAUGGACACGCUGGCCAGGCUGGAGAACAGCAGCGGGCUGCACCCGGAGGCCGGCGACCCCCACGCGGCUGCCCACAGAAUGAAAAAAAACCAAACCUUCCACGACCUGAGGAGGUCACAGCCCCCAGGACCCGAGGGGAGCACCAUCGGAGUCGUGUCUGCCGCCCGUUAAACAAGACCACGGUGAGACCGGAGGCGCUAACUCCCUUCCUGUCCACUCGGCCCGGCCACACGCACCUGGUCAUACGCACACCCGGCCACACGCACACCCGGCCACACACACACCC